UUUUUUUUUUUUUUUUUUUUUUUUUACAACCAAACAACAAAACUUCCAGUUGAGAUGGCUUCCUUUUUUUAAAAAAAUAAAAAUAUUGAGCAUGUUGAUAUAAUAUGCAAAAAACUCCAAACUUGGCAGUAAUCUUGACAUAUCUCCUCAAUAUCAUACACCUUGAUAGCAAUGAUCAUUUAUCAGUCUUUGAUAGAGUUCUUGAGAUUGAGUUCAAACUUUAAUAUAUUAAGGUGAAAGAGCCAUUUGACUCAAAAGCCAAAAAGCAAAUAUGAAAAGAGAUUCCUACUUAAGCUCUGAAGAAGCAAUGAAAGGGGGAUAGGAAGUUAGUUAUUCAGUCUAGUUGGAAUUUUACUCAGUUGUGCCAACUGCAUCUAGUGGAGGGAUUAGAAAAAAGCAAAGGAGAUAACAUAGUAGUGGGAUGUUAUUCUGGGCACCAAAAGCACGUGUAAGUGCACACUGGCAACAGUGAGACAAGCUAACAAAGGGGACAGAAGAUGUACUUGACAGGAAUAUAGAAGAGUUAGCAGAUGAGUAGGCGGAGAUGGCAUAUGAGACGUAGGCUGGGGAGCAGUAGGAAAGAGCCUUGGUGGUAAAGACAAAUAGUUUAAAUAUAAUACAAAAUACAAUAAGGGCCCGGUGAAGAAAGCUGAGAAGCCCAAGAUAAUGUCUACAGUACAGCAUUUCAAGCUGUCUAAGAAGUAGAUAUUUAGACAAAAAAUCUGAAAGGGGGAAGUUAUGAAAGCAACAAGAGAAAACAUUCAAAAUCUGGUCCAAGUGUUUUUGUUUUUCUUUUAAGAAAUGAAAAGAUAAAGAGAGACCAGGAGCGGGCAGCUCAGGUCUGUAAUCCCAGCACUUUGGGAGGCCAAGGCAGGCGGAUCUCUUGAGGCCAGGAGUUCGAGACCAGCCUGGCCAACAUGGUGAAACCGUCUCUACUAAAAAUACAAAAAUUAGCCGGGGGUGGUGGUGCGUGCCUGUAAUCCCAGCUACUCUGGAGGCUAAGGUAGGAGAAUCGCUUGAACCUGGGAGGUGGAGGCUGUAGAGAGCCAAGAUUGUGCCACUGCACUCCAGCCCAGGUGACAGAGUUGAGACUCCAUCUCAAAAAAUCAAAAUGAAAAUGGUAGCUGGUAAGAAUUUCUUGGAAAUUUGCCAGUUACCUAAGUAUUUAAGAAGACACAGUAAAAAGAAAAUUUAAAAAAUAGCAAAAUAAAUAAUAAAGACAACUAUUCAAAAGAUCCUGAAAGCUUCAAACACAAAGAAUAAUGUACUAUACAGUAACAGGAAUGAAACAUUUAAUAUUUUAAAACAAUUUUCCAAACUACAGAUAAAUUUCUUAGAGUUCUGUUUUAUUAAAUGCAAUUCUGGUGUAUUUAAUUCUUUUUUCUGAAAUAAGUUAUAUUCUAAUUAAAUAAAUUUUACUAAAAAAAUCUGAAUUCAGCUAUUGUUCACUAACCCUUAAUAAUUUUUAACAUAAAGGUAGACACAAAUGUGCAAUGAAUUUAUGUAUUCAUUGUGGACUACACUUUUAAAUCCAUUCCUUGCUCAGUGGUUUUUGAAUGCUUAUUAAGUAUCAUUGACAUUAUGCUGAGGAAAAGCUGUCAUUCUAGGAAAUUCACCACUUCUACCACUAGGUGGAGAAAAAACACAAGUAGUAUCUGUAAUCAAAGCUAGUACAAGGACUCAGGUACUUUACCUAGAAUUUCCACCAGGUGUCAACCAAGAGGGGGGGAAAAAGAUAAGACUGUUUUUUCCACUUAAAUAUGCAAAUUUAUAAUUUUACGCAUAGCGAUCUAAACUCUGAAAUAAAUGGCCUGCUCAUUGUCUAGUUUGCAUAUUUAUACUUUUUAUAUAUUGCUGUUGAGUCCAAGAUACUGCCUUGUCAACUAAAAUCCAGCCCCCAAAAGCUUAGUUUCUUUUGAAAUAAAGAAAACAGCAAGACCAAUAAGUUUAGUUUAUUGUGACUCAUAGGUUCAACCUACCCAAAUACACUACGCAAAAGAAUCUAAAAUGUUUAGACACGGACAGCCAAAAAUCUUCCAAGGUAUUUUUGUUCAUACAUAUAUAGAGAGAGAGAUAGCACCAGAUUCAUAUUUUUUCUUUCUACAUUUCUCUUGUAAGGCAGUUCUGUUGAUUGCCAGUAAUCUAGAUGAGUUUAUGCUGUUAUGCUCUGAAUCCCAGUGUGAUGUGACGAAAGCACUGCUAUUUUUUACCAAACAUUCACAAUAAAAAGAGAAAUGUACCUAUAUUUAAGAUGUAUCAUGAGAAUUACUACGUUAAAUGGUCCAAGGCUCUUUCGGCCGAAAAUUAAAGCUUCACAGUUAACCCCUAUUUAUAUACCAAAUCAUGCUUUUUAAAAACAAUUUUAUGCGCUUCACUAAUUUCUAACAAAGAUUUUCCGAUUCUGUUGCAAACAAUAUGUCAGCUAAACCACUAUGUCCUAUGCCUUUUAUAAGAUGGUACUUUUUUAGGCCGAACUCUAUUCUUAUUCCUCUGGACACAGGAGUUGUAAUCAUGUCUUACUCUGCAAAUCUAGCCGUAGGUGGUGUCUUAAAAAGGACUUUUUCUUCCUUCGAGGAAGUGGUCAAGCUUCCCCCCAGCCCCCACCCGUGUCAUCCUGGAAACAACUUGGUUGUUUUUCGGUGCUAUCUAAUUAAGCGAUGUAGGAGAAAGAAGUUGAGGAGACAAAAAAGCCUAUUGAUUACAUUGUACUUGCUUCUCUACCUCGCUCUUCAAAGGACUAAGGUUCCUUUGACCUCGACUGAGUUCAUUUCCACCCUGCCUACAAAGUACUGGUUUAAAAAAAAUAUAUAUAUAUCCAAGCCAAGUAUGCUCUUGUCUAUGAACAAUACUUCUUGUCCAGUUUUAUUACGUUUUCUUUGAAAAUUCGUUAGAUUAUGCUCAACAAUCGGCCGCUUGCCCAACCGGUUUCUCCCUUCCCCCAUCUCUCUUCACACAUCACUUUUUCCUCCUCCCAUCCAGGCAGUUGGUAAAACGCUGCAGUGCCAGUAACGCACGCUUUGGGGUGGUCACUGCAGUUUAUCCUUACUUGGCUUUGCAAACUCCCCACCCAGGCCUUGUCCCCUCGCGCCCCACUCUGCCAUUAUCUUUCCAGUAGAGUGUGCUCGGUAAGGGGCUCCAGAUAGCACGUCGAGGGUAUACGGCAGCCUGCCUACCAAUAGGAGCCCACAAUGAAGAGAAGUCAGGUUCAGCCGGCCGGCAGCUCCAGUAUCUCC
ensembl:lncRNA